CACAUGCUCCACUCUUCUCCCUCCUUGCCAAGGAAGAAGUCUUAACUUGUGCACUUCCUCCCCCAAUUGUGCCAUGCUGUGCCAACCAUAUCAAGCCACCUGCUGCUUUCCAUUGUCCUCAGUGACCCCCAGACAUUCAAAUUAUGCUAGUUCUGUGGGCACACCAAUCAAGGAAGUAAGAGACCUGUUUCUUGGGCAGCUCUCUGAAAAGCUGGAAUGUUGGAGGCAUGCUCUAUUCUUUUCUCCCAGAGGAAAAAGAUGUGAAGAGGCAUUCUGUCUUGGCACUGAGCUGUGCUAACUUGGGGGAGAGGCUGAUGCAGAUUGACCUUGCUAGGUUAUAGAGGCAUGUUCUAUCGUCUUUAUUAAGGUAUGCCAUUUAGUGAGGGUAUGCUUAGUGCAGGUUGUAUGUAUAAUUAAAUGUACAAUUAUGAUCCUACAAUAAAACACAACAGAUUAAUAACUUUCCUACUGAGAGGAAACUGAAAAGUAGGACAAUAGUAAAGGAAAACUAAUUCUUUAUGUUUGUAAGUGAUUUUCAUCAAUGGCUUCCACUAAUUCUUUUCAAUUUUCCAAAUAAAUAAAACUUAAGUAACUUUUAAUUUUCUUUUAUAAAGUCAACUCUUGUCUAGAGAAAUUUGGGGGUGAGGGGGAUAAUCCAUGCAUAAUUUAAAAAUGGAAAUUUUAGAUGAAGGAUGGAUACUGUGUUUCUGUCUUAAUUUAGAUAAAGUGAAACAAUAAAACUGUGACCAGUCUUUGCAUUUAUUAUUUUUUUCAUUAAUUUGUUUACUCAUUCAUUUCUUCAUUCAAAAAAACUUUACCACAUUCUUAUGUGCCAGGCAUGGAAACUCUCAUGUAUUUGACUUGUGACAUGCUAUUCUUUCUUCCUUUGUCCAUUUCUUAUUCCAUUGGAUAAUUUACUUCCCUGACUCUUUCAUGUGUCCUAGUAGUUUAGCUGUGAAGUCCAUCUUGCAUAUCUAUGCAGAUUAAACUUGUAUAAUCAUGUUUUCCCCUGUCAAUCUAUUCCUAUGCUUCCUGAGCUCCCUGUGCCCACCCUCCUUUCCUUUUGUUGGAGCAACUUGAUCUUUACUGACACAUUCAAGCCCAGUUCAUUCUCUGAAACUUGUCCUGCCCUUAGUCUAGGGUAUUUAAGGAAUCCUUUAUGAGUAACUUGCAGGACAUGACAUCAAAAGUCAACAUUACUGCUAAUUCUGCUUGUGGGUCCUUCGUUUUCUGUUUGAAAUAAUGAUGCAUUUUCUUUUGUCAUUGGUUAGUUCUCCAUUUGAAAUUCUGUUUUCUCCUAAGUAAAGCAUUUCAUUAGGCUGAUAAUCCCAGCUUGAACUGUAGUCUCCGAUCUGGGCCAGACUUCUCCAUCUAGUCUCUGCACAUCAUUUACUUUGAACACUUCUGUCUAUGUUUGUUUCACUACAGAGAUAUUACCUUAGGUGAGACACUAUUUCUUGCCUGUAUAAGCUGAGAAAUACUCUAAGGUAUUUCUAGACAUUCAUCUCCUACUCAGAGGAAUUCACUACAAUCUGUUCAUCUUCCUAGUUCCCUCACCAUACAGACACUGACAUCUCUAAGGUCACAAAUUAAUUUCUUUUUGGCAUAUUCAAUGGGCUUUUAUCAAAGCCUCCCCUAUGUUAGAAUCUCUGCACAUUUAUCUUCUGUAACUCAGUUUUUUGCUGGUUCUCAUCUCUCCUCUGGAUCCUUCAUGGUUUUCUUCUAUGUGUUUUUUCCUUUAAUAUUGAUGUUUUCCAGGCUUCUGUCUCUAAGUCAUUGGUCAAAAUAUUUUUUAUUGAUACACGAUAAAUUUAAAUGUGUUUGUGGUACAUGUGACAUUUCGAUACAUUCACAUAAUGUGUAAUAAUCAAAUCAGGGUUAUUUGGAUAUCCAUCACCUUAAACAUUCAUAUUUUCUUUAUGCUGGAAACAUUGUAAUUAUUCAUCACUACCUCUUUUGAAAUGUACAAUAGGUUACUGUUUACUAUAAUUACUGAUUUACUUAAUACGAGGGAUUAUUUCUUCUAUCUGACUAUAUUUUUAUACCUCACUUUAUCCCUUUCUUCUCCCUACCCGCUUGUCAUUUUUAAUACUCUAUGGGUGAUCUUGUCCAGUCUCUUGUUUCAACUGCUAUACAGCCCAGCCUUAAUCCCCAUGCUCUAGAUUUAUAUAUUCAAACUUCCGUCAACCACUUACCAUCACGUUGAUCCUAAUAGUUUGAAAUCUGAAUGUGUCAUCUUCCCUCUAAAUGGCUCCUCUUCCUGAAUUGCUGUCUAAUCCUUUUCCUCUCCCACAGUUCCAUAUCUACCCAUCCAUAGUUCUAAUACUUUUAAUGCUUAAGUGUUUCUCCACUUUUUCUGCUCUUUUUCUUUUAUCCCCACUAGCUAAUUCUGGCUGGAUCAUCAUAGCUGUUUUUACUACUCUCUCUGCCUCUAGUUUUGUCACAUUUAAGCCUGUCUUCUACACCUCUGCUGCCUAAGCUAUCCCUUUCCACUGCCCCUAUUGGCAGCUAUCUUGUAGUCAUCUUCAGCUCAAUGCCAUUUCUCCAUUUAUUCCAAGAUGACCACUAUGAUGCUGGAAUUCUUGCCCAAUCUCUCUCUGCCAUGCUGAGUUAGGUGUCCUUCAGCUAUACUCAAAGAUAUUAUGUGAAUAUCUAUAUUAUCUUAAUUACCUGUUUAUAUAUCAUACCUUCCUUUGCAUUUUCAAUGUUACCUUGCCUACUACUCCUCACAAAAUACAACUCAGGUAUUACUUGUGGGUUGCUUCAUUUUCCAGUAAGUUUAUUUCAAUAAGGAGGUAAUAUGGAUGCUGUUAGUAUCUUGGCACUUAUUUUUCUUAUUCUUUUCUUUUUUUAGAAGGUGUUUCACUCUUGUUGCCCAGGCUGAAGUGCAAUGGCACGAUCUCGGCUCACUGCAACCUCCGUCUCCCGGGUUCAAGUGAUUCUUCUGCCUCAGCCUCCCGAGUAGCUGGAAUUACAGGCAUAUGCCACCACACCCAGCUAAUUUUCCAUUUUUAGUAGGGACGGGGUUUUACCAUGUUGGUCAGGCUGGUCUUGAACUCCUGACCUCAGGUGAUCCACCUGCCUUGGUCUCCUAAAGUGCUGGGAUAGCAAGCAUGAACCGCUGCGUCUGGCCCAUUUUUCUUAUUCUUAAACAUCCUACUAAACAUUUUGGAGCUAGUUGUAUUAGGAGGUUUAUUUUCUAUGUGGAUGGAGCAGUUUAAAAAAGCUGAAAUAAGUGAAAUCUUCCAAGUGAUUUAAAAAAUUUUUAAGCCCAUGUUUCUACCUACUAAAAUUCAAAAAUAUUUACUAUAGAAGAUGACUAGUCUUCUUUAUGACAGUUAUUUUAAUUUAAAAGGAAUUAAAAGGAUAUAACUUUUCUUGAAACAUUUGCACUUAAUCAUGCUGUCAAUUCAUUAUAUGAUUUUGGAUUACUUGCUUAAUGUUUCUAUUUCUUCUCUGUUAAUACUAAUUACUCCUAAUAAUUAUAAGAAUUGUUAUUGUAUCCAAUUUAGAAAUCCUGUUAUGGAAGCUAUUUUUAUAGUGUAUUAUGAUUAAUGCAUACAAUGUCCAUGUAAACUUUCAAUUUUUAAAUGUGACACUACUUAUCUAUUGAACACUUACCAUGUGCUAGGCACUGUUCUUGAAUGCUUUAUGCAUAAAAGCACAUUUAAUCCCAUCAUAGCCAAUAAAGUAUUAUUACCUUGAUUUUACAAAUGAGAUAACUCAGAUAUGCAGACAUCGAGUAACUUGGCCAAGUAUACGUGUUAUGGAUUGAAUUGUGUCCUCCCAAUAUUCAUGUGUUGAAUCACUAACCCCUAAUGUGACUAUAUUUGGAGACAGAGUUUUUAAGGAGGUUAAUAAGUUAAAUGAGGUCACAAGUGUGGGGCUAUAAUCCAAUAGGACCAAUGACCUUCUAAGAAGAGGAAGACACACCAGGCAUGCACACGCACAGAAAAGAAGACCAUGUGAGGGCACAGCAAGAAGAUGGCCAUCUGCAAACUAAGAGGAGAGGCCUCAUUAGAACCUAACCCUGCACCAUGAUCAUGGACUUCCAGCCUUCAGAGUUAGGAAAAUAAAAUUCUGUUGUUUAUGCCACCAAAUCUGUGGUAUUCGCUUAUGAAAACCAUAGAAAAUUAUACAAUACCCAACAAGCAAAUAGCAGAAUGGAAUUAAACCCAUAAAGGAUGGCUUCAAAGGCAAUGCUUAACCACUAUACUGCCUUUAAAAAUUGUCCUAACAGUUCAACUUCAAUUACAGAAAGUUUAUAAUAAUUAGAUGUUAAUACUUUUAUGCUUAACUUUAUAUUUCUAUUUCAAAUGCUUAUUUCCUUUUCAAUAGUUAAUAUUUUCUGGACAGCAAUUCUGGACUAUUUUCUAAAUUCUCUGUUUUCUAAAUUCUUAUGUCAUGCCCUCUGUCAUAAGAAUGUUUAUACCCUAUGAUCUUCUAAAAAUAAAUCCUUAAAAGAUGAUAUGGUUUGGCUAUGUGUCCUCACCCAAAUCUCAUGUUAAAUUGUAAUCCCCAUUGUUGGAGGAUGGACCCAGUGGAAGGUAAUUGGAUCGGGGGGUGGAUUUUCCCCUUGCUGUUCUCACUAUAGUGAGUGAGUUCUCAGGAGAUCUGGUUGUUUAAAAGUGUGUAGCACUUCCCUGUUUGCCCACUGUCUCUCUGUCUCCUGCUCUGACAUGGUAAGACAUGUUUGCUUCCCCUUCACCUUCCACCCUGAUUGUAAGUUUCUUGAGGCCUCCCAGCCAUGCUUCCUGUACAGCCUAUCGAGCUGUGAGUCAAUUAAACCUCUUUUCUUUAUAAAUUACUCAGUCUCACAUAGUUCUUUAUAGCAGUGUGAAAAUGAACUAACAUAAAAACUUAGUACUAGAGGAGUUGGGCAUUGCUAUAAAGAUACUUGAAAAUGUGGAAGUGACUUUGGAACUGGAUAAUGGGCAGAGGUUGGAACAAUUUGGAGGGAUCAGAA
rnacentral:lncRNA from 1 species